UCCGGUUGAUCCUGCCGGACCCCACUGCUAUCGGGAUAGGACUAAGACAUGCUAGUCGAGUGACUCAGGCAAAACGAGUCACGGCGAACAGCUCAGUAACACGUGGCUAAUCUGCCCUUAGGACGAGAAUAACCCCGGGAAACUGGGGCUAACUCUCGAUAGGUGAAGAACUCUGGAAUGAGUCUUCACUCAAAAAGCUUCACGUUAUCCUCGUGAAGUCGCCUAAGGAUGAGGCCGCGGCCGAUCAGGUUGUUGGCGAGGUAACGGCUCACCAAGCCUUUUACCGGUGCGGGCCGUGAGAGCGGGAGCCCGGAGAUGGGUACUGAGACAAGGACCCAGGCCCUACGGGGCGCAGCAGUCGCGAAACCUUUGCAAUACACGAAAGUGUGACAGGGCUAUCCCGAGUGCCAUCCGCUGAGGAAGGCUUUUACCCAGUCUAGAUAGCUGGGGGAAUAAGGAGAGGGCAAGUCUGGUGUCAGCCGCCGCGGUAAUACCAGCUCUCCGAGUGGUGUGGAUGUUUAUUGGGCCUAAAGCAUCCGUAGCUGGCUAGGUCAGUCCCUUGUCAAAUCCACCGAAUUAAUCGUUGGAUCGCGGGGGAUACUGCUUGGCUAGGGGACGAGAGAGGCAGACGGUAUUUUCGGGGUAGGGGUGAAAUCCUAUAAUCCCGGGAAGACCACCAGUGGCGAAGGCUGUCUGCUAGAACGCGCCCGACGGUGAGGGAUGAAAGCUGGGGGAGCGAACCGGAUUAGAUACCCGGGUAGUCCCAGCUGUAAACGAUGCAGACUAGGUGUUUGGACGGCCAUGUGCCGUUCUAGUGCCGCAGGGAAGCUGUUAAGUCUGCCGCCUGGGGAGUACGAUCGCAAGAUUGAAACUUAAAGGAAUUGGCGGGGGAGCAC
rnacentral:rRNA from 1 species